AUGGGAACGCGAAGAACCUUACCUACUCUUGACAUCCAGAGAACUUAGCAGAGAUGCUUUGGUGCCUUCGGGAACUCUGAGACAGGUGCUGCAUGGCUGUCGUCAGCUCGUGUUGUGAAAUGUUGGGUUAAGUCCCGCAACGAGCGCAACCCUUAUCCUUUGUUGCCAGCGGUCCGGCCGGGAACUCAAAGGAGACUGCCAGUGAUAAACUGGAGGAAGGUGGGGAUGACGUCAAGUCAUCAUGGCCCUUACGAGUAGGGCUACACACGUGCUACAAUGGCGCAUACAAAGAGAAGCGACCUCGCGAGAGCAAGCGGACCUCAUAAAGUGCGUCGUAGUCCGGAUUGGAGUCUGCAACUCGACACCAUGAAGUCGGAAUCGCUAGUAAUCGUAGAUCAGAAUGCUACGGUGAAUAC
rnacentral:rRNA from 1 species